rnacentral:rRNA from 1 species
AUUGAACGCUGGCGGCAGGCCUAACACAUGCAAGUCGAGCGGAUGAAGGGAGCUUGCUCCUGGAUUCAGCGGCGGACGGGUGGGUAAUGCCUAGGAAUCUGCCUGGUAGUGGGGGAUAACGUCCGGAAACGGGCGCUAAUACCGCAUACGUCCUGAGGGAGAAAGUGGGGGAUCUUCGGACCUCACGCUAUCGGAUGAGCCUAGGUCGGAUUAGCUAGUUGGUGGGGUAAAGGCCUACCAAGGCGACGAUCCGUAACUGGUCUGAGAGGAUGAUCAGUCACACUGGAACUGAGACACGGUCCAGACUCCUACGGGAGGCAGCAGUGGGGAAUAUUGGACAAUGGGCGAAAGCCUGAUCCAGCCAUGCCGCGUGUGUGAAGAAGGUCUUCGGAUUGUAAAGCACUUUAAGUUGGGAGGAAGGGCAGUAAGUUAAUACCUUGCUGUUUUGACGUUACCAACAGAAUAAGCACCGGCUAACUUCGUG